rnacentral:rRNA from 1 species
GACGAACCGUGCGAACGUUAUUCGGAAUUACUGGGCUUAAAGCGCGUGUAGGCGGGCCGGCACGUCCGACGCUGAAAUCCCCCGGCUCAACCGGGGAAGUGGCGGGGAUACGACCGGCCUCGAGGGGGGUAGGGGGACCUGGAACUUCCGGUGGAGCGGUGAAAUGCGCAGAUAUCGGGAAGAACACCCGUGGCGAAGGCGGCUCUCUGGGACGGUACUGACGCUGAGACGCGAAAGCGUGGGGAGCGAACAGG